UACGAAGGGGGCGAGCGUUGUUCGGAAUGACUGGGCGUAAAGGGCGCGCAGGCGGCCCGCCGAGUCGGGUGUGAAAGCCCCGGGCUCAACCCGGGAACGGCACUCGAGACUGGCGGGCUGGAGGGCGGGAGAGGAGAGCGGAAUUCCCAGUGGAGAGGUGAAAUUCGUAGAUAUUGGGAAGAACACCGGUGGCGAAGGCGGCUCUCUGGACCGCCCCUGACGCUGAGGCGCGACAGCGUGGGGAG
rnacentral:rRNA from 1 species